AACGAACGCUGGCGGCAUGCCUAACACAUGCAAGUCGAACGAUGCUUUCGGGCAUAGUGGCGCACGGGUGCGUAACGCGUGGGAAUCUGCCCUUAGGUUCGGAAUAACAGUUAGAAAUGACUGCUAAUACCGGAUGAUGACGUUAAGUCCAAAGAUUUAUCGCCUGAGGAUGAGCCCGCGUAGGAUUAGCUAGUUGGUGUGGUAAAGGCGCACCAAGGCGACGAUCCUUAGCUGGUCUGAGAGGAUGAUCAGCCACACUGGGACUGAGACACGGCCCAGACUCCUACGGGAGGCAGCAGUGGGGAAUAUUGGACAAUGGGCGCAAGCCUGAUCCAGCAAUGCCGCGUGAGUGAUGAAGGCCUUAGGGUUGUAAAGCUCUUUUACCCGUGAUGAUAAUGACAGUAGCGGGAGAAUAAGCCCCGGCUAACUCCGUGCCAGCCGCCGCCGUAAUAC
rnacentral:rRNA from 1 species